CUAAAGAAGAGAAAAAGUAUUUGUUGUCACUGUUUAGUUGCAAGUGUCCCACUCUUUGCAACCCCAUGGACUACAGCCAGGCAGGUUUCCCUGUCCUUCAUUAUCUCCCAGAGUUUAUUCAAACUCAUGUCCAUUGAGUCGGUGAUGCCAUCCAACCAUCUCAUCCUCUGUCACCCACUUCUCUCCCUGCCCUCAAUCAUUCCCAGCAUCAGGGUCUUUUCCAAUGAGUUGGCUCUUUGUAUCAGGUGGCCAAAGUAUUGCAGCUUCAGCUUCAGCAUCAGUCCUUUUAAUGAGUAUUGACUUCCUUUAAAAUUGACUGGUUUGAUCUCCUUGCUAUCCAAAAAUAUAUAUUGUAUUUAAUGCCUUCUAUGUGCCAAGAUUAUGUUUCUACCUUCAUGUAUUGUCAUCUCACUUAAACCUCAUAAUAAUCCUGUGAGACACACAUUGCCGUUUCUAAAUUUCAUUCCAGUAAACCAAGUCUCAGAGGAGUUAAAAUGCCUGGCUAACAUCACAUAGCUUUCAAGUGAUCUUCCUUUGUCAUAAAAGGUAUAUGGAUCAGGAGCUAAACUAUGUGUGUUGGAGUUCUUCUUACAUCUGUGUCCUAGCUCUGAGACAGAUAUAUAAUACUGGGUCAUCUUGGAAAAAUUUCUUCCUCUUCCUUAACCUCAGUUUAUCUGUAACAGAAAGAUAAUACUAAUUGCAGAGGUUUAUAAUGAGACAGUGUUUAUAAUGUGAUUAACCCUUUGGUACACAGCAAGCACCUAAUAUAUAACAGCUGUCCUAAAAAUGGUUAAAUUGGGAGUUCAGGUCUGUUUUCAUUACAUCCCUUCCAUAGGAAACUGGUGAAUUUCCUUUUUCCAUUUUUUCCAGCUCCAUCCUUAAUGUCAAAGAGAUGUCACCGGUUCAAGGCCAGAGCCUAAUGGACCAUGAACAAGCAGCUUUCAGUACUGCCAACCCCAGGAGGUGUGUGGACCUUCAUCAUCCUACCUUUGAACUUCCCCUUCAGGGACAGUCUCCUGACACGACCUUCAUAGAUCCGGCAAUGCCCAGCUGUGGGGCCUAUAAAUACCAGGUGACAUUUAUUUAUUUAUUUAUUUAUUUUUCCAGGUGACAUUUAAAAGGCUGAUUUUUAUUAGUAGGUUCUACUCACCAGAACAUUGAGUUGCCCAUGCUCAGAAAAGCAUAAUCUCAUUUUUAACUUCCUUCUUUUAGUUAAUACCUAAUGAUUUGGGGAGUCAGAGGC
rnacentral:lncRNA from 1 species